rnacentral:rRNA from 1 species
AGAGUUUGAUCCUGGCUCAGGACGAACGCUGGCGGCGUGCCUAACACAUGCAAGUCGAGCGGAGACAUUGGAGAGCUUGCUCAAAGAUGUUUUAGCGGCGGACGGGUGAGUAACGCGUGAGCAAUCUGUCCUGUACAGGGGGAUAACAACUGGAAACAGUUGCUAAUACCGCAUGAGACCACAAUGUCGCAUGGCAAAGGGGUCAAAGGAGAAAUCCGGUACAGGGUGAGCUCGCGUCCGAUUAGAUAGUUGGUGAGGUAACGGCCCACCAAGUCAACGAUCGGUAGCCGACCUGAGAGGGUGAUCGGCCACAUUGGAACUGAGACACGGUCCAAACUCCUACGGGAGGCAGCAGUGGGGAAUAUUGGGCAAUGGGCGAAAGCCUGACCCAGCAACGCCGCGUGAGGGAAGAAGGUUUUCGGAUUGUAAACCUCUGUCCUUGGUGACGAAGGAAGUGACGGUAGCCAAGGAGGAAGCCCCGGCUAACUACGUGCCAGCAGCCGCGGU